rnacentral:rRNA from 1 species
CUUAGUAGCGGCGAGUGAAGCGGCAAAAGCUCAAAUUUGAAAUCUGGCACCUUCGGUGUCCGAGUUGUAAUUUGAAGAUUGUAACCUUGGGGUUGGCUCUUGUCUAUGUUUCUUGGAACAGGACGUCACAGAGGGUGAGAAUCCCGUGCGAUGAGAUGCCCAAUCCUAUGUAAGGUGCUUUCGAAGAGUCGAGUUGUUUGGGAAUGCAGCUCUAAGUGGGUGGUAAAUUCCAUCUAAAGCUAAAUAUUGGCGAGAGACCGAUAGCGAACAAGUACAGUGAUGGAAAGAUGAAAAGAACUUUGAAAAGAGAGUGAAAAAGUACGUGAAAUUGUUGAAAGGGAAGGGUUUGAGAUCAGACUCGAUAUUUUGUGAGCCUUGCCUUCGUGGCGGGGUGACCCGCAGCUUAUCGGGCCAGCAUCGGUUUGGGCGGUAGGAUAAUGGCGUAGGAAUGUGACUUUGCUUCGGUGAAGUGUUAUAGCCUGCGUUGAUGCUGCCUGCCUAGACCGAGGACUGCGAUUUUAUCAAGGAUGCUGGCAUAAUGAUCCCAAACCGCCCGUCUG